AAUUAAUAUUUUCCCGCCUACUGUAUACUUUAUUCCCUCCCAUUAAUUUUCCCAAAUUUUCAAAACCGCGCACGUACUUGAAAUUUUCCUUAAAAAAAAUAAAAAUAAAAAUAAUAAAAAUAAGAAAAUACACGCAAAACCCCUUUACGCUGAACACGUCCAAUAAUCCAGAAGAGAGGUGAGAGAAAUUUUUCUCUACGUAAUUAGGGUUCAUCAAAAUUUGGGCAAAGUCUAACGAUUUGGUCUGCAAUUCGCAAUUAGGCUCGAGCUUGUUUCGAAUUUCUUGCAAUUGACUGCGAAAUUCUCUGCGAAGGUCGAACGCGAAGUUCUCUGCAAAGUUCGAACGCGAAGUUCUCUGUGAAAUUCAUCGAGUGGGAGGGUUGAAUUGGGGCUUUCCAUUAAUAAUUCGAACAAGUUAAGAGGAGAAAUUCUACUUCAACCAUCUGCUACUAUUCACGGUGAAUCAUAUUGCAGAUCCAACUGCAGUUAGACUUGUGUUGCCCUGAUGACACGGCAAACUCCAAAUAAUGUACUAAGUGUUCCUGUGUAACAUAAAGUUUCGGAGUAGAAACACUUGGUCUUAUGUUCAGUAUAGUCACAAGCAUGGAAGAGAUAAAGAAGACACUUAAGAGGAAUCAUUCAAAGGCAAGUUUUAGAUCAAGUUCGCAUUGUGAAAUCAGGGCGACAGAAACUAGCUACAAGUUCCAGAGCUUGAACUUGCUACAAAGCAUCAGAGAUGAAGCUUCCAAUGGUGCCAACAUAAACACUUAAAAUUAAAGAGUUUUGUUUUUAGGUUUAUAUAAGUGUUCAAAGAGGUUAAGUAAUUGUUCUGGAUCUAAUGGAACGAGUCAAGUCCUAGCAUGUUUUUAAAGGAAAUUCCAGAUUUCAGGUACUUUUGUGAAAAAUAUAACACAGUUUUUGUGUUGUAAAAUAAGUACAUUGGAUUAUGUUUUACAAAA